CCCAACUAAGGUAAGCCGUGAUAUACAGUCACACACACACAGAGGCAGACAGUCACAAACACAGAGGCAGAUAGUGACAUGCAGUUACAGUCACACACAGGCAGAUAGACACACACACACUCACAGUUACCUCUGUCCAUUAUUGGUUGGAGUGGAGGCAGUGCAUGCAUGUACAUGCAUGUCUUUGGGCAGAAUUCCCACGACCCAUGCUACAAGAUAAAAUUGCGUUUACCCCGGAUUUGACCAGACGGUGGUUGUUUUCAUGUACCAGACGAGAGGCGACUCAUGGAAAGGGAUCGAGAAGGAUUUUAAAGCAUCUGAGGAUAAGUCACUGGAUCUGCUUGGCCCCAUCACCAAGAUCCUGUAUUUUGCGGACCUGGC